rnacentral:lncRNA from 1 species
CUUAUUUGGUAGUGGUGAGGCCAUGACCCACAGCAGUAAUGACAAGAUGAAGGAGCCCCCAGAAAUGCAGACCCCAUGGAUAUGACUGCAGCAGCAUGGCGUGUGAUCUGGAUGGUCACGUCAGACUUCACCGCCGCCGAUUACUAGACGGACUGAAUAAGGCUAAAAACUAGUCGUUCUUCGCUGCUUUCCAUGGAAGUGAAACAGCUGGCGAUCAUGUAAGAAUGAACUUGCAACACGUGAGCAGUAGCCAAAGCUCCAUACAGGUCAUGCCGGUGGUGGAAACUGGAAGGCUAAGGCAAACCGCAAUAUUUGUUUGCUUGCUUAUUCAUUUAUUAAUAUUUAUUUAUUUAUAUCUCACGAAUGUUCACAGGCUUCCAGCAAGGAGUUAGGUAAAAGAGAAGUAUUGUUCCAUCAAAGUAAACAUGUUAUUCGAAAAAGCAUAAUUCACAUAGCACGGUAGAAUGAUGAAACGCUUUUUAUUUAGGCAACUAGUCGGCUUCUGAUACAAAUUCAUGAACACUGCAAAAUUUGAGCAAAUCUGUAAGGUUAACAAAUCUUACUCAUAAAUGAAAAAACGAUAUCACAUUUCUGUUGUACCUAAUAUCAUAAUUCAAUCUGGCAAAUUUGACAUAUCAUACGCUGCUCUAAAAUACAAUCACUAAUUCGUGAGUAGAUGCGUAAGACUCUCGAACAUUGUAACAAUUUCAUGUAAGCUGUAAAUUUAUAUAUCGAAUUUCUUGACUUUAGACAUAGGACAUGCAUUCUGCAGAACUGCGAUAUCUGUUUUUGGCACAGAGUUGUAAAUUAUUAAGCUUCGUGGCGUUAUUUUUCUUAAACCUGCCAAUAUUCAAUAAUUUUUACUUCUAGUCUCUAAAUCAAAGUAGUUCUUCCUGCAACCAGUGGAAAUUAACUUUCUCAAAUGCUACAAACUUAAUUCGAAUUAGUCCUGUGGUUGUCUCAAAUGUAUUUUUGUGUUUUAGAUGUAUUUGAGUAGGGAAAUGGGAGUUAGCCCUGAGCUGAUGCUCGAGGCCAACUCCGAUUUGCAGAAGUAACAAAAUUGUGCUAGUUCUUUCUCUUUUUUUUGCAAGUUACAGUUGCAAACUGAGUAAAUUUUUUUCCUUCAAGCUUUGUAAUUUUCAACAAAUCUUAAUUAAAAUUCAUAGCCUAAACGUAAAAACUAUGCUUUUAACAUUUUUAAUGUAACAAUCCUCGUCAAAUUUCGCCCCAUAGUUGCAGAGAAAAACGAUUUUACUGUUUAUGAGCUCCCAAGCCAAAUCUUUUUCUUAGGUAUUGUGUGCCGUCAGUCUGGUUUGUAUUUCCCACCAUAAUUUUGGGAUAUUGGCUCUGAUCUCAAAAUUUUUUCAUGUGCAACGAAAUUCCAAGCUUUUAAACUUUGCACGAUAUAUGGUGUAUUUCUCUAUGAAGACAACUAUUGGCCACAUUUUUGCAAGCACUGCAAGUGUUAUUUUUACACAUAAACAUAGACUAAAAUGCUGUGUGAUUUCGUCAGGCUGACACAUAACAUUACAGUGCACAUUCAUAUCAAUCAAUUUUCAUUCUUUAGUAUCGAUGCGCACGGCUGGAACAGCAAGUUCUUUCGCAGUCUUAAUGGUAAGCUUUCUUGUUCUACUCAAGCUUGUUAUUGCCAGGUGUCAACUCUAGCCAAGUCUGCCACUGAUUUUUUUCACCGCAUGUUUUGUGCGUUAGCACGACCAGCUUGACCCAAGAAGCAUGUUGGCAGCUACAGAUUGUGUGUUGCAAGUUCUAGUCUGAAACGUGUAUGUAACAUAUAUGAAGCAUCUAUCUAGUCUGAAGUGCAACAAACAUUUAAAACUCAA